ACAAGGUUGCACCAAUGCAGUCAUCAAUGUAGCAGAGGAAAAGGUGGGGAGUGGUGUCGGUGUAAAGCCUCCCAACACUAAAGGUCCUAUCUUAUCUUCUCCAGCAAUUGAUCAAAGGCCGGAGUAAUAAAAAUGUCUAAAUACAGGAAACCUCCCUGUGACCACCUGAAAGGGAAUUCGGUUCCAUCCCCAAGAUCGGGUAAUCUGACAAGACUUCCACAGGCUUGGCCUCCGACUUCAUAAAACGGAUUUUAUACCCCGUGAACAGACAAUUCACUUUGCUAUAUUGUUCAUGAAGGAGGAGCAAGAGUCUCGGAAUCACCAACAGUGGAUAUUAUGGCACAACUGAGCAUGUCGGUCUCCAAAAGUCAGUGUGUGGCAAAGCUGGGUAUCAACUGCAACCAUGAAACCUUAAACUGACAGGCCAAUGUUAGUCAACAAGGUCAUUCUGUAUAAGAAGGGCCUAUUAAGAAUAGACCUUCCUUUUCCAAAGGAUUUAAAGAAUCCAAGGAUCCUUUGGUUUUUCUUUGUUAAAAGGACUGUGAAAACAAAUCUUGAAUUGCUGCAAGUUUGAAGAAUUAAGAAACAUAUGUAUUACUUAUGAUUGUUUUUCUUUGCAAACUAUAGUUUAUACAUGAAUUUUCUUUAGGAAGAAACAACCCAUUAAAUUACAUAUUCAAUUAA